UACGAGGGGGGCAAGCGUUGUUCGGAAUUAUUGGGCGUAAAGGGCGCGUAGGCGGUGCGGUAAGUCACCUGUGAAACCUCUAGGCUUAACCUAGAGCCUGCAGGCGAAACUGCCGUGCUUGAGGGUGGGAGAGGUGCGUGGAAUUCCCGGUGUAGCGGUGAAAUGCGUAGAUAUCAGGAGGAACACCGGCGGUGUAGACGGCUUACUGGACCAUUACUGACGCUGAGGCACGAAAGUGUGGGGAGCAAACAGG
rnacentral:rRNA from 1 species